GCGGACGUGGCGGAACUGGUAGACGCAAGGGACUUAAAAUCCCUCGACGGCAACGUCAUGUGGGUUCGAGUCCCACCGCCCGCACCA
rnacentral:tRNA from 11 species